AAAGUCUAACCUGCUCUAUGAAAUUAUUUUAAAUGGCCGCGAUAUCUUGAUCGUGCAAAGGUAGCAUAAUAAUUAGUUUUUUAAUUAAGAACUGGUAUGAAUGGUUGAACGAGAAAAAAACUGUCUCAAUUUAAGUUAAAUUAAAAUUUUAUUUUUAAGUUAAAAAGCUUAAAUUUUUUUAAAAGACGAGAAGACCCUAUAGAGUUUUAUAUAAUUAAUUAUUUUUAAAAAUUUUGGAAUUUAAAGUUUAAUUAUAAUAGGUUGUAUUUAGUUGGGGUGACUAAAAAAUUUAAAAAACUUUUUUUAAAUUUUAACAUUAAUUUAUGAAUAAAUGAUCCA
rnacentral:rRNA from 1 species